UACGGAGGGGACUAGCGUUGUUCGGAAUUACUGGGCGUAAAGCGCACGUAGGCGGAUUUGUAAGUCAGGGGUGAAAUCCCGGGGCUCAACCUCGGAACUGCCUUUGAUACUGCAAAUCUCGAGUCCGGAAGAGGUGAGUGGAAUUCCUAGUGUAGAGGUGAAAUUCGUAGAUAUUAGGAAGAACACCAGUGGCGGAAGGCGGCUCACUGGUCCGGUACUGACGCUGAGGUGCGGAAAGCGAUGGGGAGCAAACAG
rnacentral:rRNA from 1 species